rnacentral:rRNA from 1 species
AGGACGAACGCUGGCGGCGUGCUUAACACAUGCAGGUCGAGCGGUAAGGCCUUUCGGGGUACACGAGCGGCGAACGGGUGAGUAACACGUGGGUGAUCUGCCCUGCACUCUGGGAUAAGCCUGGGAAACUGGGUCUAAUACCGGAUAUGACCUGCUCUCGCGAGUGGGGGUGGGUGGAAAGUAUUUUAUCGGUGCGAGGAGUCGGGGCCCGCGGCCUAUCAGUCUUGUUGGUGGGUAAUGGCCUACCAAGGCGACGACGGGUACGCCGACCUGAGAGGGUGACCGGCCACACGUGGGACUGAAGACGACGGCCCAAGACCUCCGUACGGGAGGCAGCAGGUGGGAAUAUUGCACAAGUGGGACGAAAGCUGAGUGCAGCGACGCCGCGU